GGUUCCUCUAGCACCAAGGUUAAAUUACUGUGGGCCCAGAGGAGAGCACCAGUCAGAACCAAAACAUCUGUAAUUCCUCCUCAGCCUUCAGCAACCCUGGCUCUCACAGGCCUUGGAUACAGCCUGCUUGGCAAGCAAUGUAGAGGUUACGCUUCCAUAUGAUCCCAGAAAAAGGCCUGGAAUGCUCACCUGCUCCCUUUAGCCUCCCUCCUGUUCCCUGGUCGCAGUGGAGCGUGGCCAUGAGAAGCCUCUGGAGCCUUUUGCUGCGCCCACAGAGCAGGAUGUUCUCCGGUUUGAUGUCUGCGUGGAUGAUGCGGCAGCACUUGUGCAGGAAGUGCAGCCCUGCCAGCACCUGGCCAAGGAGGCAGCACUGUCACACCAGCCCUGGCAGGGUCCCCACUGCCUCUCCUGCCCCAACUCUCUCCCCCCAGAGCGGGCAAGCACAGCGGGAGUGCAGGCACAACACAUCCGUACAGGGGAUGAAGGAAAAGUUGGCUCUGCACAGGAAAACUUCAAUAUGGAAAGAGAACCAGCUGACCAAAUCAGCAAUUUAGAAAUUCAUGUAAAGAUGGAAGGGAGACCUUGAGUGCCUUCAGUGGUACCAUGCAGAAAGCUGCUGGAGCUGACAGUGCUACCAUGGCUGGAUGCCAAGGCAAAUGCCAGCAGCCUGGCAUUACUGCCAGAGGGGACUUCUCUGGGCAACAGGAGGGCAGAGAUGGUUUGCCCACAAGAAGCAGAACUAUGGCAGCCUGUUUGUCCCCUGCUACUUCUACAAGCAGCAGAGAACCCAAUGAUUACUGAGCUAAUGGGAACAGAAGUGCCAGCCCUGACUCCCUGGUGUACAUCUGCAGGCUUUUGGCACUUGGUGGCCCUGACUGCGUCCCAAACCUGAGGAGGCUGCAGGCUUAGGCAGUAACAGCCAAGUCCUUCCCCUUGGGAGGAAGACUGUGGCAUGUCCCACAGCCAACAGCCCCUUGGCACCCUUGCCUGAUUGCAGCUGAGUUCUCACCUGCUGUAAAGACUUUUUCACAAAAGGCAAGGGCAGUCCCUGGGCUGUGUAGUUUCCCAUCAGACAUCGAAUGGAAGGACCCAGCACCUCAAAUACCAGGCAAGCAUGUGGGAAAGAGUUAGGGAUUCGCUAACAAGGAAAGGUGUUACCACCACCCCUUUGCCUUUCACCAAAGCAACCAAAUACCUCCUGGUUCAGCCGCUCCCCUCCAGCCAUGCCCAUGUGCCCGGGUCCUGCUGCAGCCCUGCCCAUCCUCCUCAUGGCAGCACAGCACUCAGGCUUACACCAUCCUGUGGCUCUCCAAGGCAAGGCCAGGCUUUGCUGGCCCAGAAAAGCACUCUCUGCAGAAGGAUAUGGAAACCAUUCUCUCCAAUCAUUCUGAAGUCGUCUAACAAACAGACGAUGUUUUCUCCUGCCAGGUCCUUCUUCUUCAUGCAGCUUACCUGAGGGGGAGGAUUCCAAGAAAGCUGCAAUCAGAGACAUAUAUGUGCACAAGGACACUUUGCACCUGUUUUAUCCUGUCUGACAGACUUUCUCUUCUGGCACUUUGUGACAAAUCCCAUGAAAACAACAUCAGGAAAACCAGGAAUGAGUUUCUGCAUGUUUUGUCUUGCUCUUGACCAGGUGGGACCAUCACAAGAUCGCAAGGAGGUGCUCUCCCAAGGGACUUGCUCUCCCAGAGCACUCACCCUGGUACAGCAAUUCAUGCUGGUUUUUCCUCUCUUCAUGGCCACAACUGCCAGGGUUUUGGUUUGGUUCAUUUUGCAGUUGCCAGAUCCACUUGCACCAGUGCCAGAAGGUUUGUUCUGGCACAACAGAAGUGAGCAGCCCUGGAAGCAUCAUCUCUUCUGGCAGCUCUGCAGGCAGUAAGCCCCAUUGCUGGUGGGAACAAGCCUUGGGAAACAGCUGUGUGCUGCUGAAUGGGCAGGCAUGUCUCUCAGAAUUAAUAAUAAAUCAGGGGUAAGGUUCA
rnacentral:lncRNA from 1 species